rnacentral:rRNA from 1 species
GACGAACGCUGGCGGCGUGCCUAAUACAUGCAAGUAGAACGCAGUUGCGAACGGGUGAGUAACGCGUAGGUAACUGCCUCAUAGCGGGGGAUAAAUAUUGGAAACGAUAGCUAAUACCCCAUACUUUGCGAUUGACAUGCGUUGUUUUAGCUAGUUGGUGAGGUAAAGGCUCACCAAGGCGACGAUACAUAGCCUACUUGGGAGGGUGAUCGGCGAAAAGGGGACGUAGACACAGCCAAGACUCCUACGGGAGGCAGAAGUAGGGAAUCUUCGGAAAUGGACGGAAGUCUGACCGAGCAAAGCCGCGUGAGUGAAGAAGGUUUUCGGAGCGUAAAGCUCGGUUGUUAGAGAAGCGGUAACUAAACAGAAAGGGACGGCUAACUACGUGCCAGCAGCCGCGGUAAUUC